UACGAAGGGGGCUAGCGUUGUUCGGAAUUACUGGGCGUAAAGCGCACGUAGGCGGAUAUUUAAGUCAGGGGUGAAAUCCCAGAGCUCAACUCUGGAACUGCCUUUGAUACUGGGUAUCUUGAGUAUGGAAGAGGUAAGUGGAAUUGCGAGUGUAGAGGUGAAAUUCGUAGAUAUUCGCAGGAACACCAGUGGCGAAGGCGGCUUACUGGUCCUUACUGACGCUGAGGUGCGAAAGCGUGGGGGAGCAAACAGG
rnacentral:rRNA from 1 species